GGUGGGUUCGGAAGGGAGGCAGGAGAAUCGGCAAGUGUCGAGAGGCUCUACACCUCUAAGGGUGAACAGAGGUUAACGUACUAGCUCCGACACUUUUGAUGCUCUUCCACGUGCUGGCACACAAGAUGUCACACACUUCGGGGUUUCCAAGAACUGUGGUAUGUUUCAUCAGAGAUCUGGGACCUUAGACAGAAAAGGACUGAUGGGCAGUUUGUUCUUUGCUCUGAGCACCAACCCAUCCUGAAGGAGCACAGGCACUGCCUAGGAGGAGGUCAACACCUAUGAUGAUGGAGUUCCAGACUAGAGUCUCCUGUGAAGAUGUGGGGCAGCAAUGAGAUCGUUUUCCCCCUGAGGAUGUCCCACAGUGGAUGGAGUAUCUACAGUGCCCACGGCAUAUUCCAGCAGUAUAGUUGAGAGGGUAAGAUGGGAGUCAGCUGUCAGUCAAGGGACCACUCCUACUAAAGCUGGCCAUGCAGGGAGGUGGAGGAGCUCAGAAAGGCAGAGAGUGUGGAAGGCACAGCAGAGCCAGCAAGCCAUGCUGUGCAUCCUACCCCUUCCUAGACCAGCUCUGGGCACUAGAAGGAGAAGAGGUUUGGGUUUGGGUGUUUAUUAUUCUAUGUUAAUCUAAAUACCACUUGGUUUUACUUUGCUGUUUUUAUUUUUGUUGUGUUGUGUUUUUAAUAAAGUGUGCUGCAGUCCCUAAUAUGAUUUUGAUCUAGACUUCUCUAUACUUUUUCCCACAUCUAGGAGCAUACAAAUUGUUGUUGGUAACCAUCUAUUAACAAGGAUGGAAAGACUAAUUCAUCCUUAGGGUUCCAUCCUCACUAAGAGGAGCAUAUAGAGUAGAGGCUCUUCCAGUGUGACACGCAGGGAGGCCAGGGACCCAGCCACCAGCAUCAGUGCAGAGAGAUACUGCACCCAGCCAGCCAGGCUAAGGCCUGGACAUCCAAAAGUCCCCUCCUCAAAUGGACAUGCUGAGCUCCCAACCUCAAGAUGACAGUGUUAGCAGGUGACUGGGUGCUAAGAGAAGAAUGCUCGUGAGUGACAGUGAGGCCUGAAAUAGUAGUCUUGAUUGUCAACCUGACAGAGUUGAGAGUCACCUAAGUGACAAAUCUCUGGGCAUGUGUGAGGGAAUUUCCACAGAAGUUUAACCGGGAUGUGGAGAGCUCCCUUAGAAGUGAAAGAUGCCAUUCCGUGGGUCCAAGAUUAAACAAGAAGGAGAAACUGAUUGGAGCUCCAGCAUUCUUUGCUCCCUGCUUCCUGACUGUGUGAUCAGCUGCCUCUAGCUCCUGAUGCCAUGACUUUCCCCACCAUGGCGGACUGUACCCUUAAC